rnacentral:rRNA from 1 species
CCAUGACGAUGGUGAGGGGGAUUUGGGUUUGGUUCCGGUAGAGGGAGCCUGCAGAGAUGGCUACUACGUCCAAGGAUGUGCAGCAGGCGCGGCAACUUGCCGAAUCCUUUUGGGAGGCAGUUAGCAAGCGUUGGGUUUGUUUGGAAUUGCAAAGAGAUUCCUUGAGAUUGGAGGGCAAGUCGGGUGCCAGCAGCCGCGGUAAUACCUGCUCCAAGAGUGUCUAUGGUGGAUGCUGCAGUUAAAAGGUUCGUAGUUGUGUUGCUUGCGCAUGUUUUGUGUGCCUGUGUGUGUGGCGGGCUGUGGAUGUGUGCGGCGAUGUGCGCAACAGACGGGGGGCACUGGAUAAUUGGGCCAGAGGUGAAAUGCGACCACCCUGACUGGCCAGACGGAGGCGAACGCGGUGC